AUUGAACGCUGGCGGCAUGCCUUACACUUGCAAGUCGAACGGCAGCACGGGAGCUGUCCUGGUGGUUAGUGUCUAACGGGUGAGUAUUACUUCGGAACGUGCCCUAUCGUGGGGGAUAACGCAGCGAAUGCUGUGCUAAUACCUCUUACCAUCUACGGAUGAAUGUUGGGGAUCGCAAUUCCUUGCGUGGUUGGAGCGGCCGAUGGCCGAUUUUUUUGUUGUUUAUUUUUUGGUUCACCUUGC
rnacentral:rRNA from 1 species